UACGAAGGGGGCUAGCGUUGCUCGGAAUCACUGGGCGUAAAGCGCACGUAGGCGGAUCUUUAAGUCAGGGGUGAAAUCCCAAGGCUCAACCUUGGAACUGCCUUUGAUACUGGGGGAUCUCGAGUCCGGAAGAGGUUGGUGGAACUGCGAGUGUAGAGGUGAAAAUUCGUAGAUAUUCGCAAGAACACCAGUGGCGAAGGCGGCCAACUGGUCCGGUACUGACGCUGAGGUGCGAAAGCGUGGGGAGCAAACAGG
rnacentral:rRNA from 1 species